rnacentral:rRNA from 1 species
UGGGAGUGAGAAUGUUGGCAUGAGUAGCGAGAUGUGGGUGAGAAUCCCACAGGCCGUAAACCCAAGGUUUCCAGGGGAAGGUUCGUCCGCCCUGGGUUAGUCGGGACCUAAGCUGAGGCCGAAAGGCGUAGGUGAUGGACAACAGGUUGAUAUUCCUGUACUACCGAUAACCGUUUGAGAGAAGGGAUGACACAGUAGGAUAAGCUAAGCACACUGUUGGUUAUGUGUGCCCAAGCAUUGAGGCAGUCAAAGUAGGCAAAUCCGCUUUGAUAAUGCUGGGAUGUGAUGGGGAGCGAAAUUUAGUAGCGAAGUAGCUGAUUUCACACUGUCAAGAAAAGUCUCUAUCGAGGUUAAAGG